rnacentral:rRNA from 1 species
GCGGCUGGACCUCUCGGGGUUACAGCCUUGCUGAAUUAUUCACCCUUGUCUUUUGCGUACUUCUUGUUUCCUUGGUGGGUUCGCCCACCACUAGGACAAACAUAAACCUUUUGUAAUUGCAAUCAGCGUCAGUAACAAAUUAAUAAUUACAACUUUCAACAACGGAUCUCUUGGUUCUGGCAUCGAUGAAGAACGCAGCGAAAUGCGAUAAGUAGUGUGAAUUGCAGAAUUCAGUGAAUCAUCGAAUCUUUGAACGCACAUUGCGCCCUUUGGUAUUCCAAAGGGCAUGCCUGUUCGAGCGUCAUUUGUACCCUCAAGCUUUGCUUGGUGUUGGGCGUCUUGUCUCUAGCUUUGCUGGAGACUCGCCUUAAAGUAAUUGGCAGCCGGCCUACUGGUUUCGGAGCGCAGCACAAGUCGCACUCUCUAUCAGCAAAGGUCUAGCAUCCAUUAAGCCUUUUUUCAACUUUUGACCU